AAGCGUGCGCAGGCGGUUAUGUAAGACAGAUGUGAAAUCCCCGGGCUCAACCUGGGAACUGCAUUAGUGACUGCAUAGCUGGAGUACGGCAGAGGGGGAUGGAAUUCCGCGUGUAGCAGUGAAAUGCGUAGAUAUGCGGAGGAACACCGAUGGCGAAGGCAAUCCCCUGGGCCUGUACUGACGCUCAUGCACGAAAGCGUGGGGAGCAAACAGGAUUAGAUACCCCCGGU
rnacentral:rRNA from 1 species